CGUCAGCUCGUGCCGUGAGGUGUCGGCUUAAGUGCCAUAACGAGCGCAACCCUUGUCAUUAGUUACCAUCAGGUCAAGCUGGGGACUCUAAUGAGACUGCCACCGUAAGGUGAGAGGAAGGGGGGGAUGACGUCAAAUCAGCACGGCCCUUAUGUCCGGGGCGACACACGUACUACAAUGGUGGCCAUACAAAGCGAAGCGAAGUCGUGAGACGGAGCGAACCGCAAAAAGCCAUCUCAGUUCGGAUUGCAGGCUGCAACUCGCCUGC
rnacentral:rRNA from 1 species